GAUGAACGCUGGCGGCGUGCCUAAUACAUGCAAGUCGAGCGAACAGACGAGGAGCUUGCUCCUCUGACGUUAGCGGCGGACGGGUGAGUAACACGUGGAUAACCUACCUAUAAGACUGGGAUAACUUCGGGAAACCGGAGCUAAUACCGGAUAAUAUAUUGAACCGCAUGGUUCAAUUGUGAAAGACGGUUUUGCUGUCACUUAUAGAUGGAUCCGCGCCGCAUUAGCUAGUUGGUAAGGUAACGGCUUACCAAGGCAACGAUGCGUAGCCGACCUGAGAGGGUGAUCGGCCACACUGGAACUGAGACACGGUCCAGACUCCUACGGGAGGAAGCAGUAGGGAAUCUUCCGCAAUGGGCGAAAGCCUGACGGAGCAACGCCGCGUGAGUGAUGAAGGUCUUCGGAUCGUAAAACUCUGUUAUUAGGGAAGAACAAAUGUGUAAGUAACUAUGCACGUCUUGACGGUACCUAAUCAGAAAGCCACGGCUAACUACGUG
rnacentral:rRNA from 1 species